rnacentral:rRNA from 1 species
UACGAAGGGGGCUAGCGUUGUUCGGAAUUACUGGGCGUAAAGCGCACGUAGGCGGCUUUCUAAGUCGGGGGUGAAAUCCUGGAGCUCAACUCCGGAACUGCCUUUGAUACUGGCAAUCUUGAGACUGGAAGAGGUUAGUGGAAUUCCCAGUGUAGAGGUGAAAUUCGUAGAUAUUGGGAAGAACACCAGUGGCGAAGGCGGCUAACUGGUCCAGUACUGACGCUGAGGUGGCGGAAAGCGUGGGGAGCAAACAGGG